rnacentral:rRNA from 1 species
UACGAAGGGGGCUAGCGUUGCUCGGAAUUACUGGGCGUAAAGGGCGCGUAGGCGGGCUGCCAAGUCCGGGGUGAAAUCCUCCAGCUUAACUGGAGAACUGCCUCGGAUACUGGAAGUCUCGAGGAGGGUAGGGGCAAGUGGAACCGUGGGUGGAGCGGUGAAAUGCGUUGAUAUCCAUGGGAACUCCGGUGGCGAAGGCGACUUGCUGGACCCUUUCUGACGCUGAGGCUCGAAAGCCAGGGGAGCAAACGGG